rnacentral:misc_RNA from 1 species
UGAUUUGAAAGGUCCCAAAAAGCAGCUAUUGAAUGAGAAAUUGAGAAUCAACCUUAGGACCACUCUCAAUUUCAACACAGCCAUUUUCAAUUCUUCAACUUCUUCCUCAACACAUCACUUAACAUCUACAGAUCUGUGAAGGUGGGGGACAAUCUCCUAAUGCUACAAGAACCAUAAUAGACUAGAUUCGGAGAAAUGAAUUAUGUAUGCAUCAUAAAUAUAGGAUCAAAAUAGCAUUUUUUAACACAAGAUUUGAAUCUUAUUAACAAUUCUAUAUUCUAAUGCUUAAUUUUACUUGGAUAAAUUAUAUUCAUGAUAUCUGAAUGCAAAACUAGUGUAUAACAUGAAAUUAUAUCAACUUUAAUUUGUAGUAGAAAACUAUUUCAACUUGCUUUAAGGGAUUGAUUUAUUUAAUUAAUAAGAGAGAUUUAUUCAACCUUAAAAGUCUCAAGUUUGAACCUCGCCACUAACUUCUUGAUAUUGGACAUAUUUGGUGAAAUAUUUAUGUGCAAUUCAUCUCAUCCACAAGAGUAUCCUAAGCUUUAACCUGACAUAGUUGUAGUGGAAUGUUUCUAGAUGUGUAUGAAUAUGAAAGACAAUGUUUUCUGUAAACAGUGCAAUCAAUCUAUUUAUAUAUUCA